UUCCACAAACCUAUUCCCUACUUUAGCGGUGUGGUCACAGGAGAUUGUGAUCAGCUCUGGGGUUCACUAGUGACGGCCGCGCUACUGCUGUGGCCGAUUGCCACCACCCGCAACAGUUGCGGGGAAGAUGACGCCGUUGCCACCAGCCGCCUCAGUUGCGGGGAAGAUGACGCCGUUGCCACCGGCCGCCUCAGUUGCGGGGAAGAUGACGCCGUUGCCACCGGCCGCCUCAGUUGCGGGGAAGAUGACGCCGUUGCCACCGGCCGCCACAGUUGCGGGGAAGAUGACGCCAUAGUUGCCGCCGCCGGGGAAGAUGCUGCCAUAGUUGCCGCCGCCGUCGGCAGCACUGCUGCCAUUGUUGCUGCCACCGCUACUGUCGGCAGCGCUGUGGCUUCCGUUGUUGCUGCCGCCGCUACCGUCGGCAGCGCUGUGGCUUCCGUUGUUGCUGCCGCCGCUACCGUCGGCAGCGCUGUGGCUUCCGUUGUUGCUGCCGCCGCCACCGUCGGCAGCGCGGUGGCUGCCGUUGUUGCUGCCGCCACCACCGUCGGCAGCGCUGUGGCUGCCGUUGUUGCUGCAGCCACCGCCAGCCACAACAGGGAAGGUGCCGCAGUCCAUGGCCGUACCUACAGGAACAGUCUGUUUUGAGCUGUUUUGUUCUGUACAAGUUUCACAUGGCCAACUGAUGACUCAGCUUCCACACCAUUGGUUUCUAGUUGUACUGAGACAGCUGGUUAACAAAACCAAUUGAAGUCAACGGAAUGGAGCGAUGUUCACUAUACUGACACACUGCUGUGAGAAUUCACACCCAAAUGAAAAUUGAAACAUUUGUAUCAAACAACUUCUUUUGUCUUUUGAACAGAACAUUUUGCCCUUCGUGCAUCCAUGAUGUCAAAGUAGCUGUAUACUUGACAUUGUAUGGCAAUGUAGUUUAAGUUAAGCAUUGUGCUGCAACACCAGACAAAUGCAUUAAACUGAAAAGGCUCAUUGUGUGACUAAUAAAAAGGUCCACACACAUUCCAACAGUAGGAUUUUGUUGAACUUGCUCACCUUCUUUAACAUCUUGCUCCAACAUGGACUCCAUUGCCUGGAGAAGUGCAAUGGCCCCCUUUAAUAAGAAUUCACUGAGAGGCAAAUCUGUUGUACAAAAAGAAAUUAAGUUAGUGCCAGAAAGUAGCUCAGAAAAGACUUGGGCACACAUGUUCUUACCUUCCAUCUUCCUCUGAUCAUUCCCUUUAUUUGUCCCAUCAACUGGCAAACAAGACCCUAUGGAUAGUACACUUGCUGUUAAUCAAAUGUUCAUGUGGUUUGAUGGCACUAUAUAUCUCAGACUAGUGACAACUAAAAUUUCACACUUCAAGUUAUGCCAAAGCAUCCUCUAGUAUGUCAAGUUUUUGCCUGAAAUCACGUUAACUUACUCUUACAGUUUCUAUACUCCGUUACCAUUUUUUUAACAGAAGCUUGAAAUAGAAAGAAAUGUGAAAACCUUUGGCAAGCCAAACAGUCAGGACACAAACGACGAAGGCCCACAUAGCUCCCAUUGCAUCAGUCACCAACAGGAAGUGCUACCUGUGCCACACACUGGGUCUGAAAAAGCCUCUCAUGCAGGUGGCACAGCUGUUGUUAAUCAGCUCUAAUUAGCUUUCUACAGAGGUGCUGCAAUUCAGCUCCUCCCGUAACAAGCAUGUGUUCAUUUGAAUUGAUUUAUAAUAAUACAUUUUG
ensembl:lncRNA